rnacentral:rRNA from 1 species
AGUGAACGCUGGCGGUAGGCCUAACACAUGCAAGUCGAACGGCAGCACAGUAAGAGCUUGCUCUUACGGGUGGCGAGUGGCGGACGGGUGAGGAAUACAUCGGAAUCUACUUUUUCGUGGGGGAUAACGUAGGGAAACUUACGCUAAUACCUCAUACGACCUACGGGUGAAAGCAGGGGAUCUUCGGACCUUGCGCGAUUGAAUGAGCCGAUGUCGGAUUAGCUAGUUGGCGGGGUAAAGGCCCACCAAGGCGACGAUCCGUAGCUGGUCUGAGAGGAUGAUCAGCCACACUGGAACUGAGACACGGUCCAGACUCCUACGGGAGGCAGCAGUGGGGAAUAUUGGACAAUGGGCGCAAGCCUGAUCCAGCCAUACCGCGUGGGUGAAGAAGGCCUUCGGGUUGUAAAGCCCUUUUGUUGGGAAAGAAAAGCAGCAGGUUAAUACCCCGCUGUUCUGACGGUACCCAAAGAAUAUGCACCGGCUAACUUCGUG